rnacentral:rRNA from 1 species
GACGAACGCUGGCGGCGUGCUUAACACAUGCAAGUCGAACGGAAAGGCCCUGCUUUUGUGGGGUGCUCGAGUGGCGAACGGGUGAGUAACACGUGAGUAACCUGCCCUUGACUUUGGGAUAACUUCAGGAAACUGGGGCUAAUACCGGAUAGGAGCUCUUGCUGCAUGGUGGGGGUUGGAAAGUUUCGGCGGUUGGGGAUGGACUCGCGGCUUAUCAGCUUGUUGGUGGGGUAGGGGCUUACCAAGGCUUUGACGGGUAGCCGGCCUGAGAGGGUGACCUGCCACAUUGGGACUGAGCUACGGCCCAGCCUCCUACGGGAGGCAGCAGUGGGGAAUAUUGCACAAUGGGCGGAAGCAUGAUGCAGCAACGCCGCGUGCGGGAUGACGGCAUUCGGGUUGUAAACCGCUUUCGCCUGUGACGAAGCGUGAGUGACGGUAAUGGGUAAAGAAGCACCGGCUAACUACGUG